AUCCUCCGCGGUUUUAACCAGCGAUCUAACGACGUUUCAUUUGCUUCCCGGUUUUAGUUUCUCUCUCUCUCUCUCGCUCUCUCUCUCUCUCUCUCUCUCUCUCUCUCUCUCUAUCUCUCUCUCUCUCCCCCCUUCUCGCUCCUCUCUCUGUCUGUCGCUCUACUCUCUCUCUCUCCCCCUCUCCCCCUUCUCUCUCCUCUGUCUCUCUCUCUCUCUCUCUCUCUGUCUCUCUCUCUGUCUCUCUCUCUGCCUCUCCCUCUCCUCUCUCUCUCCCCCCUUCUCGCUCCUCUCUCUGUCUGUCGCUCUACUCUCUCUCUCUCCCCCUUCUCUCUCCUCUGUCUCUCUCUCUCUCACUCUCUCUGUCUCUCUCUCUCUCUCUGCCUCUCCCUCUCCCCUCUCGCUCUCUCUCUGCUCCUGUUGUGUUCCGAGCCCUUGGCUGUUUCCUUAAGACGCGGCUGCCUAUAGCACAGCACUUGUCUGACCUGUGUGGAGAUUUGGAACCCGUCAGAUUCUCUUCAAGGCGAGUUCCCCAGAAUCUAUAAACGCAGUGCAAAGAAAGGGCUGAUAUAUUAAGAACUACCGGCAACAUUAUUGCUGAUGCGUUUCUCGCAGAUCCAGUAUGACAAGACCUACCACAUUAAACGGCAAGAAACGAAAAAAAAAGGCGAAGGAAGUCAGAAACAGGAAUGUGGAGAUAACAGGCAGAAAAUGUAUGAGAACUGUAUGGAGAAGCAUGAACAAACAUGAAAAAUUUGUUUAGUGACUUGAAUUUAAAUUCCCCGGUGUGCAGGUGGUGUUCAAACGCUUGUCCCUGGAUCAAUAGUCCCGGCGUCUGGAUGCACGUCCUGUAACUUAACUAUUAUGCUAUCACUAACUCAUUCUCAAAGAAAAAUCAAAAUCACGAUUUCCGGGUUGCGAUCUAUUUGGAAGGUCAACAGUUGGAGUGUCGAGAAUUAUUUUGCAAUUUGCACUCUUCAUAUGUUUGACUUUUUAGGAACAUUAUGACUUAAUGAUUAUAAAAAUAGAACUUGAAGUACUGGCGUGAAAGAUGUACCAGGAGCAAUAAGAACAUUGUAGUACAAUGUAAUAUGACUAGUUAUUAAAUGUCAAUGUAUGUUAUUAGGAGUUAUUGCUAUAUAUCAUGAAUCAUUUGUAAAAUGAUUUUGUUUCAAAUAUAAAUAUUAAGUGUUAAAUAAUGUAUCAAAGAGAACUUAACAAACAUGAUUGACUCUUUAUAUAACAUGAACAUGGUGAACUUUUGUUGAGGUUUGUGUUCCCAGCCGAACAUACAAUGCAUUAUUUAAUACACUUGGAAUAAGUAUGGUUUUUGCCCUGACCUGAAAUAUCACAGACCACAGCAAAAUUAUAAUACAAAAGCAAAGUUCUGUGAAUGUUGCUUCAGAAACAUAAACAGAAAACUUGAAAUCUUCAACAGCUCUGUCUACUUGCAUGGAGAGUAAAACAAAAUUAAAGAUGAAUAUUGUGAUCUUUCAUCAGAAUGUUUUGAUGAACUAUCAUUGAUUUGAAAUCUUAUUACAUCACAAAUGUUGUCUGGACCUGUUAGAGUGAUUUCUGGAUUUAGCACAUUUAUAUUGAGCAAAUGACUUUGGCCACCUUAUAAAUUGUGGAUUUAGUUUGGAGUGCAGCUCUGAACAAUGUGUUUCUAAAAGCUGCAAAUCCCAGACCAGACAAUGCUGAUUAAAAUUCUUUUGGAUAUGUGUGGUAUGGGUGUGAAUUGGGAGAUGUGAAGUUCAUAUGUAGUUUCAAAGAAAGCAAUGUAGAUACAUUGUAAAUAUGGAAUUGUCCUUUGAUGUUUAGCACAAAAAUUAUUGAGUCUCACAUUGGGCCAGCCAGAUCUUUCAACUGAAAGCACCUCCAUAUGAUGCCUGGUGUACCUUGUUUUGUUAAAUAAAGAAGCUGCUUCAUAUCUACCAGUACCUUUCUCCAGUACUGACCAAUAAAGCAACCUGACCAAUUAAAUAUGGUCUAUUUUUCCAGUCAAUUUUUGCUUCUUGUUUGCUAUGUAAAAGUGAAGCUUAAGAAAUAAAUAUGUUUGAGCAACCACUAAAUGUAAUUAUUCCUUGAGCUACAGAGAAGGAAGAAAAACAGUGCUGUUUAAUUAGAAUAAAGAAUUUGUUAAAUACUUAGAGGCUGGUUUACUAUACAGUUUAUUUCAGAGGUUAAUCA